GACGAACGCUGGCGGCGUGCUUAACACAUGCAAGUCGAACGGAAAGGCCCUGCUUUUGUGGGGUGCUCGAGUGGCGAACGGGUGAGUAACACGUGAGUAACCUGCCCUUGACUUUGGGAUAACUUCAGGAAACUGGGGCUAAUACCGGAUAGGAGCUCCUGCUGCAUGGUGGGGGUUGGAAAGUUUCGGCGGUUGGGGAUGGACUCGCGGCUUAUCAGCUUGUUGGUGGGGUAGUGGCUUACCAAGGCUUUGACGGGUAGCCGGCCUGAGAGGGUGACCGGCCACAUUGGGACUGGGAUAAGGGCCAGACUCCUAAGGGAGGCAGCAGGGGGGAAUAUUGCAAAAUGGGCGGAAGGCUGAUGCAGCAAAGCCGCGUGCGGGAUGAAGGCCUUCGGGUUGUAAACCGCUUUCGCCUGUGACGAAGCGUGAGUGACGGUAAUGGGUAAAGAAGCACCGGCUAACUACGUG
rnacentral:rRNA from 1 species